AUUGAACGCUGGCGGCAUGCCUUACACAUGCAAGUCGAACGGUAACAGGUCUUCGGAUGCUGACGAGUGGCGAACGGGUGAGUAAUACAUCGGAACGUGCCUAGUAGUGGGGGAUAACUACUCGAAAGAGUGGCCAAUACCGCAUGAGAUCUACGGAUGAAAGCAGGGGAUCGCAAGACCUUGUGCUACUAGAGCGGCCGAUGGCAGAUUAGGUAGUUGGUGGGAUAAAAGCUUACCAAGCCGACGAUCUGUAGCUGGUCUGAGAGGACGAUCAGCCACACUGGGACUGAGGCACGGCCCAGACUCCUACGGGAGGCAGCAGUGGGGAAUUUUGGACAAUGGGCGAAAGCCUGAUACAGCAAUGCCGCGUGCAGGAUGAAGGCCUUCGGGUUGUAAGCUGAUUUUGUACGGAGCGAAAAGCCCCGGGUUAAUACCCUGGGGUCAUGACGGUACCGUAAGAAUAAGCACCGGCUAACUACGUGCCAGCAGCCGCCGUAA
rnacentral:rRNA from 1 species